AGUGAACGCUGGCGGCGUGCCUAACACAUGCAAGUCGAACGAUGAUGGAGGAGCUUGCUCUUCCUGAUUAGUGGCGCACGGGUGAGUAACGCAUAGGUAAUGUGCCCCUUAGUCUGGGAUAGCCACUGGAAACGGUGAUUAAUACCAGAUACUCCUUCUUGUCUCAAGGCAAGUCGGGAAAGUUUUUCGCUAAGGGAUCAGCUUAUGUCCUAUCAGCUAGUUGGUGAGGUAACGGCUCACCAAGGCUAUGACGGGUAUCUGGUUUGAGAGGAUGAUCAAACACACUGGAACUGAGACACGGUCCAGACUCCUACGGGAGGCAGCAGUGAGGAAUAUUGCACAAUCGAGGAAACGCUGAUGCAGCAACGCCGCGUGGAGGAUGACGCAUUUCGGUGUGUAAACUCCUUUUAAGAGGGAAGAUUAUGACGGUACCUCUUGAAUAAGCACCGGCUAACUCCGUGCCAGCCGCCGCGGUAA
rnacentral:rRNA from 1 species